GAUUUAUCGUUGGGUGGGGGAUAACCGCGGGAAACUGCGGCUAAUACCGCAUGACGCCUGUGGGCCAAAGCAGCAAUGCGCCUGACGAGGAGCCUGCGUCCGAUUAGUUAGUUGGUUGGGUAAUGGCUGACCAAGGCGAUGAUCGGUAGCUGGUCUGAGAGGAUGAUCAGCCACACUGGGACUGAGACACGGCCCAGACUCCUACGGGUGGCAGCAGUGGGGAAUAUUGGACAAUGGGCGCAAGCCUGAUCCAGCAAUGCCGCGUGGAU
rnacentral:rRNA from 1 species